AAUAUAGGACUGCGUGGGAGGUGUGGCUAGUCUAUUUUCAAAUGCCUGCCCUUAAAGUGCCACAGCUAAAAAAGUUGGAGCCGUCUAGGAGUGACUCCUUCCUGUUGAAGUCAUGGACCAACCUCCUAGCUCUUCUCACACUACUGUUUGUGACAAGUUCAACUGUUCCCAUACUGGCCUCUUUCAGGGGGGUUGGAUUCCCAUGUUAUUUUGUCAACCUGGUGGAUUAUAGCACUUUGAACCUAACAGUGAGAAAUUCUGCAAAGCACUUAACACCCACACUGUUUCUAGAAGGGCCAGAAAUGUUUGUGUACAUAGUAUGGUCAUUCCUAACAGAAGCUAUUAAUAUAAUUUAUUUUAUUUUUGGCGCAGUAACAGUGUACCGUCUGAAGAAAAUCUUCAUGCCCUCCCUGAAUGCCAUACAAGUGUGGCUCACUCUUAUUGGGGGACACUCAACACUUUACCUGUCCAUCGCCAGACUAUGGACACUUCAGCUGUUUGUGCAUGUUUUGAGCUUUAAGCAGAUAUUUCUAGCAGCCUUUGUUUACCUGUUUCAUUUCAUGCUGUCAUAUGUCCAUGUACACGUGUUUAUAUCUAGGUAUGUGCCCCAGUGGCAAGCAAAUGAUAUGGAACAGAAAAUACCUGAAGGCAGCUCUCUAGAAAAACUGGUGUUGUUCUACAGACCAAUUUUGGCCAACAUUCAAAUGUCCCUACUGGCUCUGGAAAUGCUGGUGUUCUCACUGAGUGUCAUGAUGGCAGUUUGUAAUUCUUUUUACAUCCUGGUAUCAGAUGCAGUGUUUGGUGCUGUCAACCUAUUCCUCAUCAUAUCUCUGGUGUGGCAUAUCGGGGCAGAAGUGUUCCUGGCCAAGUACCUAAGACAUCAUGUUGGAUUUUACAUUGGGCUUUUUGUGGCAUAUGUUAUUAUGCUUCUCCCUGUUAUCAGAUAUGAUGCCAUCUUUGUCACCUCGCGGCUUCACAAACCAAUUACUAUUAAUAUGACAAUAAUUCCCAUAAUAUGUCUAAUAAUAAUUGUUGUGAGAAUCAUCAGACUCAGAUCACAGACCAGCACCAAGGUGACUUAUAAGAAAUUGGGUAUUAGCGGCGCCAUGGAAGCACAACCUUUCCAGUCUAUCCCACAACCCCCCAGAGCAAAAUAUACAGACUUGGAGACAGAAUCAGAAGAUGAACUAUAAACAUUUUAUUAAAGUAAUUAAAGCAAAU
rnacentral:tmRNA from 1 species